rnacentral:rRNA from 1 species
AUGAACAAGAACGUGCUGACGCCUGUGCGCGCCACCACGCCCACCGCCAGCUCCAGCUGCGGGCUUCAGCAGAACAUCAUCCCGCUGCUUGAGGUCAGAAUUCUCGUCUGCGGUGGCGAGGCAGAGACGACGCUCGAGGGUAGGGGCUUGGACGCCGAGGCCGAGCGAGGGGAUGGUGAGGAGCUUGGAGACGAGUUGGUUGACGUGCUGGCCUGGGAGCUCUGGUCGGCGGCGUCAAAGGCGCUGAUGUCGCCGAUGGGGAUGGACGGUGGGCCUGGUCAUACGGCCGAUUACAUUAUUACAGUUCAUUAG